GGACGGGUGAGUAUCACGUGAGCAACCUGCCCUUGACUCUGGGAUAAGCCUGGGAAACUGGGUCUAAUACCGGAUAUGAGCUUCCAUCGCAUGGUGGUUGUUGGAAAGAUUUAUCGGUCAUGGAUGGACUCGCGGCCUAUCAGCUUGUUGGUGAGGUAAUGGCUCACCAAGGCGACGACGGGUAGCCGGCCUGAGAGGGUGACCGGCCACACUGGAACUGAGACACGGUCCAGACUCCUACGGGAGGCAGCA
rnacentral:rRNA from 1 species